rnacentral:lncRNA from 1 species
CGGAAUGGCUAUCAUAUUGAGACAAUGGAUGAAGAUAAUCUUGAAUAUCUCGUCAUCACAAAGAAUGUCUCCGGCCAAAAGAGGGUUAUUGAUAAAUUCCCGUCUUUAUCUUGUGGCCUGUAUUGGACAAGAAUUAGUGCAAUUGAGGCACAUUCUACCAUAAACCAAAAGGUUACUGAUUCCAAUACUUUCGUACUUUGGCAUGAUCGAUAUCCUGGAUCAAUUAUGAUGAGAUGGAUUAUAGAAAACUCAAAUGGGCAUCCAUCAAAGAAUUUAAAGAUUCUCUUAAAUAAUGAAUUUUCUUGCACUUCUUGUUAUCAAGGCAAGUUAAUUAUUAGACCAUCACCAACAAAGGUUGGAACUGAGUCACCUACGUUUNNNNNNNNNNNNNNNNNNNNNNNNNNNUACUUUGGCAUGAUCGAUUGGGACAUCCUGGAUCAAUUAUGAUGAGACGGAUUAUAGAAAACUCAUAUGGGCAUCCAUUAAAGAAUUUAAAGAUUCUCUUAAAUAAUGAAUUUUCUUGCACUUCUUGUUAUCAAGGCAAGUUAAUUAUUAG